GCUGGGUGGGGCCGGAGUGUGAAGGUGGGAGGGUGUAAGGAAGCACAGGGGACAAGGAGCUUGCGAUCUCCAUCUCCUCACUUCAAAACCUAUCAUUGUAAUGCCUUAUGUUCAGUACUUUUUGUUUGUUUGCUCUGGCAUUCAGAGACUCUGUGCUGGUUUUUAUUGAAAACGGAAAUGUUAGGGCACAUUUAGCGCUUGUGCUUCUAUCUGGCACAGUGUAAAGGGACUGGGCUUUGGAGCCAAACACCCCUGGAUUUGAAUCCUUGCUCUACCACUUAUCCACUGUGGCCGCAGGCAAGCCAGUUCUCCUUUCUAUGCAUCAGUUUCCUAAUUUGUAAAAUCAGAAUGACAGUAUCUACCUGUGGGUUACCAGAGUCAGAGACAACUGGUUCUUCUUAUUCUCUCUGAGUCUCUUUUAUCCAACAAAUAUUUACUGAAUGCCUACUAAGUACCAAGCACUGUUUAAAGAAAUGAGUGCAAAAUGCCUCACACUGCAUUUGGAACAUGAGAAUAAACCAAUCAACGGCAACUGAGAGAGAUGUGUUCGAGGGUGGGAGGCCUGUUUAUUCUUCUCUGAUACAAGGAUGGUAAUUAUUGGGUCAAAGUGAAGGAGAAUUGCAAAAUAUCAGCAUUUAUUUUUUUUCCUGAAGCUCAUAAGGUGCCCAGGCCUAAGCUUACUUUUUCCCCUCUCACUUCUAUCAAAAUAUAAUUUUCUGUGAGAUAAAAACAUGCAAAUAUGAGAAAAUACUUCUCAGAGAUCUUAUCCAACUCAUUAUUUAAUAAGUGAACCAAUGUGAGGAUGAUACUGCUUCCAAGAGCAUUUGUGCAACAAGGAUGUGUGUAGUCCAUCAGGGAAGAUAUUGAGAAGUAAAAGAUUGUUGGAAUAAGAUAGCUUGGUUAGAUAUAAAAUUAUUUAGUGGCCCACGGGGCAACAAAAUGUUAACCUGUAGGAUUAUCUUUUUGCUAUGGGCUGAAUGUUUGUAUCUCCCCCCACCCUCCCAAAUUCAUAUAUUGAAAUCCUAAUGCCCAAUGUGAUAUGAUUAGGAAAUGGGGCUUUGGGGGUCACUUAGGUUGUAAGGGUGAAGUCCUUUUAAAUGGGAUUAGUGCUUUUAUAAAUGAGGUCUCGGAGAUCUCCCUAGUCGUUCCACCUCGUGGGUCACAGCCAGAAGACAGCCAACUAUGAAAUGGGAAGUGAGCUCUCACCAGACACUGAAUCUGCCAGCGCUUUGAUCUUGGACUUCCCAACCUUCAGAACUUCGAGAACUGGCUAAUGAACAGAAGUCAUUCAAGAUUUUAAAAGAACCAUCCAAGAGGGCUGAAGCUACAGUCUACAUGUCUCCUGAGAAUAGCUCUGCAAAGUGCAAAUAAAAUGGCAACUCUCAAUUAAGGAAUUCAGCGAUAAACAAGAAAUCCUGCUAUAAAGGGACUGCACAGUAUUUCAUUUUUACCCUCUGUACUUACCAAAACAACUUGCACAGGGCAGUGCUUAAUAAUGAAGGGUCACCAGAUUACUCAUCAUUCUCAGAAUAAGAAACAAAGAAGUACAAGAAACAGGAAUGCAAGCUCUACAUUUGAUUGGAAUAAAGACAUCUGUGUCCUUAACAAUCAGAUAUCCGGAAGGGCUGCCACAGGGGUAGGAAGAAUGUUGAAUAGGGCUUUUAUGCCUACAAUUCUUGGAUUGCUGACUGAGCAAAGUUCUUACUCUGAGGAGAGAAACAACAAUCUUUGUUUUGUGAAAUGGGCAUGGGUUUCACAGGCAGGGGCUUCAUUUCUGCCCCCCUCCCCUCGCCACAGAAUAACAGGGAAGGCGAAAAUAAGUGCGUUGAAAAUGUGGCAUGGCAAGAGCUCUUAUUUGCAGCACUGUAGCAGGAGACCUCUUUUUAAUAGGAAAAAGUUAAAAAAAAAACCCAAAACAUGGACAUGAAGACAAUGUAUGUCCUAACCCAGGGCGAAUUCUUGCUACUUUGUAAACUUGUUCUAGUGUCUAUCUAAUAAGAACCUCAGAUAUAUUGAUGGAGAGAUAUUUCUUUUCAUUUGAAGACAAGUAAUAAAAGCCAUCAGUGCAAAUAUACUACUUGGAAAAAGGAGAAAAGGGCAAGAAUGAAACAUAUAACAAAAUGAAUGAUGGGUAAAGAAAACUCACCCAAAAGACUUGUCAAUGAUCUGAUAAACUGAUUUAAAACACCAGCAUGAAUGAGCACAAGUUAAUAAAACAAGCAUGAACUCACGGCUGAGAAAUAAAAGCUCAAGGGCAUAGGGUGAGACCACAGAUGCAGAAGCAGCAUGAGACACAGAAGCCGGGGAGCACGGAGAAGGAAGAUAAAGUAAUCACAGAAGCAAAGUUACCACUGGCAAUCGCAUGUAUGAAUAUAAAUAUUUGUGGGAAAUAUAAUAAAAGUCAUGAAGGACAGGAUUUUUCUUAAAAAGUGAGUAAAAAGAAAUAAAAAUGAAUAAGUAAUUUUAAGGAUCAGAAAUAAACCAAUGUCUGUGGAACAGAGGAUCCUACAUUAACCAUAAUUAGUGUCCCUGAAGAAGAAAGCAAAAAUUAGAAGAGGAAAUAAACAUUUAAUAACAUAUUUCCAGGGGAAUUUCCACAAAUAAAAGAAGACUUGAAUUUACAGCUUGAAAUGAUUUCCUGUGUCCCAGGGAAAAAUUCACAUGUAAUGAUUAACUAUGAGACAAAGCCUGAUGAUUAUUUUUUUCAAAUAUAAAAUACAAUUCCUUUUGUAUCUGGGCAAAGUGAUCAAGAUACCAAUAGGGAAAUGGGAGGUACAAACUACUGAGUGUAAGAUUGGCUUGAGGAUGUACUGUACAACUUGGGGAAUAUGGCCAACAUUUUGUAAUAAUUGUAACUGGUAAGUAAUCUUUAAAAGUUGUAUAAAGAAUUUAAAAAUAACAUGGUUAGUGGAUCUUAUAAAACACAUUCCACACAGGAUGUGGAAUGAUGCCCCUAUAUUACUCAGCAAAAACAUGACCUAAAAUUCUGAUGCACAGCCAAAUCAUUAUUUAACUCUAGGAGAUAUAUGUAUGUAAUUUUCACAUGUGCAAGAAUUAAAUGAUGGUUGUUUCCACAGACACUACUUGAAGAAACUUCCUCAGCCAAAGGAGAGAAAAAUGAAUAAAUAAUAAGGAAAGGACUGGUGCUCAACCUUUAACCCAUUUCCUGAAAGGGUAGAGAUGGAAACAAAUGUGAGUUACUCCACAAAAUUGGAAAUAAAGUUAUAUAUUGUAUAUAGAUGAUUAGAUUGCUUCCUCGGAAAUUCGGAGAAAUCAAAAAAACUAUGGGAGAAUUUGGGUAGUUACCAAAUUACAAAAUUAAUAAAUGUCAACAGUCUUUCUCUAUAAAAAGUAUUUUAAAUAAUGGAACACAUGGAUAUAUUUGCAAGCACAAAGGAAAUGAUGAAGUAGCUAGGAAUAAAAUGACAUAAAAAUGUGUAAGAUGUGUAUGAAGAAAACCUAAAUUACUACUCACAAAGAAUUAGUAGAUAGGCAUAUACCUGUUAAGGAUAGAGAGAUUCAAUAGUAUGAUAUAGAUGUUCCUACAUUAGUCCAUGAAAGAUAGAAAUAGAAAGUGAACUUUUUUUUAAAAAAAGAAAGGCUCAUAAUAUUUGAAUGGCAAAACAAGCAAUAUUCUAUAAAGAAAAACAAAAAACAAAACAAGUACUCCCAAAUAAGAGCAGAUAUUAUCAAUCUAAAGAAAUGAAAAGCAUAUGGUACUUAUAAGACAGGUUCAUCAAAGGAAAAUAAUAGGGGGGUCUGUAAAUAGAUCAAAGCCACACAGGAAUUCACUUUAUUAUAAAGUCAGCCAUGUCUAUUAUUCUGAAAAAAAGUAUUAUUCAAUAAAUGAUGUGGCUAUCACC